rnacentral:lncRNA from 1 species
UUGUCUCCGCGUGCUGCUACUGAAGUGAAUUGUGCAUACACAGCACAAUAUGUCCUAAGAAAAAACCCAUAACGGUCACUUGAAGCCUGUACAGCGUCGCUUUCUACCCUCCAAUUUCAUUUUGCGAAACGUAAAAUGAAGCAAGCCAUCUAUGCUGAUAUGCCGCUAAUCUCUCUGUUUAUUGCUAUGUGUUUGGUUUCAAGCGUUCUAGCGGCACUGAAACUCAAGAAAUGCCAUACAAGUGGCUACGGAUGCCUGCCAUUCAACCAGUGCCCUCCACCAUAUUGGGCACCUCGCUAUGGCUGCGGGUGUGGCUCUAUUUGCUGCAACCUAGCAUCAAUGAAUGCCUGCUCUUUGGCUGGAGGAACUUGUAAAGUACGGUGCCAUACUCGAAUACCAAAGGUCAGAUGUCCUGGAUUGAAGAAGUGCUGUGUCACGGUGCGUCAAUAAGUUACAGUAUGCUAACACACCAGAUGUAACGCUGUCGUUGAGCGUAGAAACAGCAUGAGCGAUUUUCUUGCCCUUCUGUUCACCAUGUGUGAAAUGGGGCAUUGAAGGAGCACCAAAAAGAGGAAUAAAUAUCCACACAAGCGUAAACACGUUGUGAAUUUUAUCGUACGAG